CGGGUGAGUAACACGUGGGUAACCUACCUAUAAGACUGGGAUAACUUCGGGAAACCGGAGCUAAUACCGGAUGAUAUUUUGAACCGCAUGGUUCAAAAGUGAAAGACGGUCUUGCUGUCACUUAUAGAUGGAUCCGCGCUGCAUUAGCUAGUUGGUAAGGUAACGGCUUACCAAGGCAACGAUGCAUAGCCGACCUGAGAGGGUGAUCGGCCACACUGGAACUGAGACACGGUCCAG
rnacentral:rRNA from 1 species